AUUGAACGCUGGCGGAAUGCUUUACACAUGCAAGUCGAGCGGCAGCGCGGGGCAACCUGGCGGCGAGCGGCGAACGGGUGAGUAAUGCAUCGGAACAUGUCCAUGGAUGGGGGAUAGCCCGGCGAAAGCCGGAUUAAUACCGCAUGAGCCCGAGAGGGGAAAGUGGGGGACCGCAAGGCCUCACGUCGAUGGGUUGGCCGAUGCCCGAUUAGCUAGUUGGUGGGGUAAUGGCUCACCAAGGCGAUGUUCGGUAGCUGGUCUGAGAGGAUGAGCAGCCACACGGGGACUGAGACACGGCCCAGACUCCUACGGGGGGAAGCAGUGGGGAAUUUUGGACAAUGGGGGCAACCCGGAUCCAGCCAUUCCGCGUGAGUGAAGAAGGCCUUCGGGUUGUAAAGCUCUUUUGUCCGGAGCGAAACGGGGCGCGUGAAUAUCGCGCUCUACUGACGGUACCGGAAGAAUAAGCACCGGCUAACUACGUGCCAGCAGCCGCCGUAA
rnacentral:rRNA from 1 species